rnacentral:rRNA from 1 species
GCAUAUCAAUAAGCGGAGGAAAAGAAACCAACCGGGAUUACCUCAGUAACGGCGAGUGAAGCGGUAACAGCUCAAAUUUGAAAUCUGGCUCUUGCGGAGUCCGAGUUGUAAUUUGUAGAAGAUGCUUUGGGUUGUGGGUUCGGCCUAAGUUCCUUGGAACAGGACGUCAUAGAGGGUGAGAAUCCCGUAUGUGGCCGAGGCCCGCGCCUAUGUAAAGCUCUUUCAACGAGUCGAGUUGUUUGGGAAUGCAGCUCAAAAUGGGUGGUAAAUUUCAUCUAAAGCUAAAUAUGGGCCAGAGACCGAUAGCGCACAAGUAGAGUGAUCGAAAGAUGAAAAGCACUUUGGAAAGAGAGUUAAGCAGUACGUGGAAUUGUUGAAAGGGAAGCGCUUGCAACCAGACUUGGGCGCUGCCGAUCACCUUGAGUUUUCUCGAGUGCACUCGACAGCGCACAGGCCAGCAUCGGUUCGGGUGGCUGGAUACAGGUCGUAGGAAUGUGGCUCUCUUCGGGGAGUGUUAUAGCCUACGGUGCCAUGCAGCCCAGCCGGACCGAGGACCGCGCCUUCGGGCUAGGAUGCUGGCGUAAUGGUUGUAAGCGACCCGUCUUGAAACACGGACC